UAUGAAAAAUGAGAAAAGUCGUUAAAAAUGGACGAAAAGUAAAGGCUAUAGCCUUACUUUUUUGCUGUUUUUUGCCAUUGAUGAAAAAUGAGAAAAGUCGCUAAAAAUGGACGAAAAGUAAAGGCUAUGAAAAAUGAGAAAAGUCGCUAAAAAUGGACGAAAAGUAAAGGCAAUAGCCUUACAUUUUUGCUGUUUUUUCCCUAUUUAUGAAAAAUGAGAAAAGUCGCUAAAAAUGGACGAAAAGUAAAGGCUAUGAAAAAUGAGAUAAGUCGGUAAAAAUGGACGAAAAGUAAAGGCUAUAGCCUUACUUUUUUGCUGUUUUUUUGCCAUUGAUGAAAAAUGAGAAAAGUCGCUAAAAAUGGACGAAAAGUAAAGGCUAUAGCCUUACUUUUUGCUGUUUUUUUGCUAUUGAUGAAAAAUGAGAAAAGUCGCUAAAAAUGGACGAAAAGUAAAGGCUAUAGCCUUACAUUUUUGCUGUUUUUUCC
rnacentral:lncRNA from 1 species